AAUCACCACUUCUACUCCAAAAAGCGAACAUGAGACACUAGAUCUCCAUGGUAUUGCAAAACUUGUCAUCAAUACUCCAAAAAGCAAACAUGAGAUGCUAGAUAUCCUGGCAUUACCAUCAGCUCAUUUUCGUUAUGUUUCAUGUUUGUAAUGAUGCCUCAUGUAUUAUACUCAAGAUAUUGGAGAAGGUGGCGUUAAGUUCAGGUGCACUUUUGGCGUUAUGUGUUAUUAGAUGGUGUGGUCAAGU
rnacentral:misc_RNA from 1 species